UCCCCGGCUGCCCAAUCACUCUCGGUCCUGGCUUUCUGUUGAGACUAUCCCUCUUCCCAUUCCAUUUAUGGAGGAAGCGUCCCAGGAAGUGUUCCUGGAGAGCCUUGGAUUUGGAAACUUAUCUGUCAAUCAGAGAGUGGGCAUCUGCCAUCUCUAAGGAGCCUAUGGCUCCAAAAUCCUCUUCAUUUCAAUCAGAACAUGUGGGAGCAAAGAUGAAGACUAACUUGGGAGGGAGGCAGCAAGGCCUGUGGGGAGGCCAGCACUCAUGAAGAGUUGCCCUGCAGAGUCCCUCUCCGCCCCUCACCCAGGGCCCAGCGCUUUCAAUUGGCUCCCUGGUGCCAAGUGAAGUCUAUUAAUAUCAAAGUAAUGAGGAUCUCAAGGCGAAACCUUUGUUAGUUUCAAAACCUGUGGUCAUCUUCCUGCCUCUGCCUCCCAAGUGCUGGCAUUAAAGACAUCCCACCAUGCCUGGCUUUUUUUUUUUUUUUUUUUUUUUUUUGAGGCUGGGUAUCAUGUAGCCCAGCCCAGGCUGGCCUUGUUGCCAAUGCUGGACUUGAAUUCCUGAUUCUCUUACUUUCUCCUCCCAAAUGCUAAGAUUAUGGAAAUGUGUUAUUAGCCAGGCAUGGUGGCUGACUGCAUGCAUGUACUCUAAGUACUUGCCUGGUGCCCAUGGAGGUCAAAAGAGGGCAUUUGUCUCUGGGAAUUGUAGUUACAGAUGGUUAUGAGCUGCCAUGUAGGUGCUAGGAACCCAACCUUGGUCCUCUGCAAGAGAAGCAAGCAGUCUUGACUGCUCAACCAUCCCUCCAGAUUUCUCUCAGCUAUUUCUGAGACUGGGUCUCACUACUUAGCUCUGGUGGCCUGGAACUCGCUAUGUAGACCAGUCUGGCCCUCCUCUGCCCCCCGAGUAUUGGGAUUAAAGGCCUAUGCCAUC